GUGAACGCUGGCGGUAGGCCUAACACAUGCAAGUCGAACGGCAGCACAGUAAGAGCUUGCUCUUACGGGUGGCGAGUGGCGGACGGGUGAGGAAUACAUCGGAAUCUACUUUUUCGUGGGGGAUAACGUAGGGAAACUUACGCUAAUACCGCAUACGACCUACGGGUGAAAGCAGGGGAUCUUCGGACCUUGCGCGAUUGAAUGAGCCGAUGUCGGAUUAGCUAGUUGGCGGGGUAAAGGCCCACCAAGGCGACGAUCCGUAGCUGGUCUGAGGGGAUGAUCAGCCACACUGGAACUGAGACACGGUCCAGACUCCUACGGGAGGCAGCAGUGGGGAAUAUUGGACAAAGGGCGCAAGCCUGAUCCAGCCAUACCGCGUGGGUGAAGAAGGCCUUCGGGUUGUAAAGCCCUUUUGUUGGGAAAGAAAAGCAGCAGGUUAAUACCCCGCUGUUCUGACGGUACCCAAAGAAUAAGCACCGGCUAACUUCGUG
rnacentral:rRNA from 1 species